rnacentral:rRNA from 1 species
AUUGAACGCUGGCGGCAGGCCUAACACAUGCAAGUCGAGCGGAUGGAGGGAGCUUGCUCCUGGAUUCAGCGGCGGACGGGUGAGUAAUGCCUAGGAAUCUGCCUGGUAGUGGGGGAUAACGUCCGGAAACGGGCGCUAAUACCGCAUACGUCCUGAGGGAGAAAGUGGGGGAUCUUCGGACCUCACGCUAUCAGAUGAGCCUAGGUCGGAUUAGCUAGUUGGUGGGGUAAAGGCCUACCAAGGCGACGAUCCGUAACUGGUCUGAGAGGAUGAUCAGUCACACUGGAACUGAGACACGGUCCAGACUCCUACGGGAGGCAGCAGUGGGGAAUAUUGGACAAUGGGCGAAAGCCUGAUCCAGCCAUGCCGCGUGUGUGAAGAAGGUCUUCGGAUUGUAAAGCACUUUAAGUUGGGAGGAAGGGCAGUAAGUUAAUACCUUGCUGUCUUGACGUUACCAACAGAAUAAGCACCGGCUAACUUCGUG